UCUGCUUAAUUGCGUUUCAAAAUUUAAACCUGAGCGACAAGGUGCUGCUAUCGAAACUGUCUUUGAGUGUGAACUAUAAGUCUUUUGACUUAUGACCAUCACUCUAGACGUUUAUGUUUUGGUGUUGGCCCUUGAUGCUCAUUUGAACGCAACGGACGUGAUUGCAACCCCUUGUUGAGAUUUAUCCGAUCUCUACGUUCACUGAACCACACUCUUUAGCGAGAGCAGUGGGGAUGUGGAUAAACUCGGGGGACUGCUGACUAUAAACUUUUCUCAAACCAGAGGAAGGUUGCGGCAAUAACAGGUCUGUGAUGCCCUCAGAUGUUCCGGGCUGCACACGUGCUACAUUUAGUAGCGCAGUGUGCACAUUAAUAGAGUGAUAGGUUCCGUGGUUUGUACAUUUUAAGGGCUCGUCCUAGUAACCAAAGCUCCACGGGACAUAUCAACCUUCCCCUUACAGGGCGGGUAACCUCUUCGAAGUGCUGGCAUGAUUUCCCUAGUUUUGGCAUUUGAAUCCUUGUCGCAGCAGCCCUGAGACGUAGUGAACGCUGCAAAGUGAUUCCAGUCUUAGGUUUGCGACACAUGCAAUUCCUGGUUGACUCAUCGUGGGGACUGAUUCUUGUAAUUAUUUUUCACGGUUCAACCAGGAAUGCCUUGUACCGGCGGCUCAUUAAACCGCUGGGAAUACGUCCCUGCCCUUUGUACACACCGCCCGUCGCUCUUACCGAUGACUUUGACUGUGAGUAGGACUGACCGUUUAUCGGGAAAUCCGUCGAACAGUUAGAGU
rnacentral:rRNA from 1 species